UCCGUAGGGUGCAAGCGUUAAUCGGAAUUACUGGGCGUAAAGCGUGCGCAGGCGGUGAUGUAAGACAGGUGUGAAAUCCCCGGGCUUAACCUGGGAACUGCAUUUGUGACUGCAUUGCUGGAGUGCGGCAGAGGGGGAUGGAAUUCCGCGUGUAGCAGUGAAAUGCGUAGAUAUGCGGAGGAACACCGAUGGCGAAGGCAAUCCCCUGGGCCUGCACUGACGCUCAUGCACGAAAGCGUGGGGAGCAAACAGG
rnacentral:rRNA from 1 species